rnacentral:rRNA from 1 species
CCCAGACUCCUACGGGAGGCAGCAGUGGGGGAUAUUGCACAAUGGGGGAAACCCUGAUGCAGCGACGCCGCGUGGGCGAAGAAGUAUUUCGGUAUGUAAAGCCCUCUCAGCAGGGAAGAAGAAAUGACGGUACCUGAGUAAGAAGCACCGGCUAAAUACGUGCCAGCAGCCGCGGUAAUACGUAUGGUGCAAGCGUUAUCCGGAUUUACUGGGUGUAAAGGGAGCGUAGACGGCGCUGCAAGUCCGGAGUGAAAGCCCAUGGCUUAACCAUGGUACUGCUCUGGAAACUGUGGAGCUUGAGUGCGGGAGGGGCAGGCGGAAUUCCUAGUGUAGCGGUGAAAUGCGUAGAUAUUAGGAGGAACACCAGUGGCGAAGGCGGCCUGCUGGACGAUGACUGACGUUGAGGCUCGAAAGCGUGGGGAGCAAACAGGAUUAGAUACCCGUGUAAA